ACAGCUGUGGCGCAAGCCUGCGCACUGGGGGCCACAUCGGUGCGGCCUUCAGUCUGAGGCUGGUCUCGUCACCAAGGCUCUGUGCCAUCAGAACCGCACUCCCGGGCAGAGUCCGUCACUGCAUCAGCCCACACCAUCGUCCGAGAGGAUCUGGACUCAGGUAGCCCUGGGAGGCAGCAGAGAGAGGCCAGGAAGGGCUGGUAGAAAAUGGGCGGGGCUAAGGACCCUAGCGUCUCUGAUUUCCAGUUUCCUGGUUGGCAAGAUAGUUACUGUAAAGAUGGUUUAAAUGAAUGGAUGUAGAGAGUUACGUACCACAUUGACACACAGAGAGCAUCCAAGAAAUGGAUGGAUCAUUGACUUAAAAGGAGACAUUGGAAGACUCCCCUUUUCAACAGCUGCACAGUCUACGUUUAAGGAAGCUGAAAAAAAUGAAACUCAUAUAUCUCUGACUUGUAGAAGAGAGGAAAAUACUCCAAAGAAACUACAUGAAGUUGAGAAAAUAAAAUGAAAAUAGGAAAA